UUCCCAUAAGUUCCAUAACAAGACAGAGAAGACACUCGAUAAAGGCGACUCAGUUCUUCUAACCUUUACUGAACUGCCAACCUCCUCUAGUUUUUGCAAGAUUGCCAGCUCGCCGGAAAUUGUUAAUGAAUCAGGCCUCGGAGGUUUUGAAGGGGACAUCUGAAAACAUAAAUAGAAACAAAGGAGAAAAGCAAAGGUUGGGGGAAGGGAGGCAGGAAGAGAGUCAAAAACAACAUCGAUGAAGGUUGAAAGCAUAAUACUUUAUAAUAUAAAAUGCCAGGAUUUCAAUACGAGUAAUCAUAGAGCAGACAAGGAAUGUUUCAUGUGAUAGGAGUAUUUUUAGAAUACCAAAGGAACUGGCGAAUGACUAAUCCUCGAAGUUGGAACAUCUUCAAUAGCAGAAACUUGUCUAGAUAAAACCUCCUCUCUCAUGCUAGAUAGGCGCGUAAGUACAGCCUAGAGAAGGUAUGAAAAGAAGGGUGUAAACAAUUAUUUACUCAAAAUAAAAAGAAGAUUCCAAUGAUGACAACUGGAGCACAGAAUUACGUUUCUGAAAUCAUGAGGGUUAGCAACUCCUUUGAUAUGAACAUCGUCACUUGAGGGCCUUCUCACACCAAUGUUUUCGAUUCUAAUAGAGUAUACACCAAAUUGGGACUGUAAAUAUCCUGACAAAAUAUCAAUUUAACAAAAGUUUUAAAAGAUGAAAUGGUAAGAGCCUUCUGAGUAGCAGAAAAUGAGACCUAAGAGUGAUAUCUUCCCUUAAAACAAUAAAUAUUACAAUAGGACACUUCAAAAUGAAUUAUAACAAACACACAAAAAGAAUACAGGACCAAGCUACUACAGACAAGCAUCAUUUCUCCUCCAAAAUACUUUGCAAGUAAAUCCCUAACUUCCUGCCAUAGACUGGGAGGGGGAUAAUUAGUUUUGAUUCAAACAAGUAAUUAUAUGCCUGCGAUGGUAAGAUCAAAACACAAAAGUUGAAAAACAUGAGUGCACUGUCCACAAAACUAGUUGACAACAUCAGAGGACUAACAUUGAUUGAGCAGUUGACACUGUUCUCCCCAUGAAGGCUCACAAGAACAAUAAGAUCGGGUAAUUAGAGAACUGCUAGUUUCAUUUUUAUUUAUGAAAAAUCUGAAAGAAGGGAACGAAGAGCCCUUUACCCACCAGUGUAAAUGUAAGUUUGAGCCACAAAUUUUUAGUUUCCCACCAAAAUCACAUCAUUGCAGACCCCUUACUCUUACCAUGAAUAGAUUAUUAUCUAAUGCAAAACAAAAUAGAUCACGGUUGCUCACUUUUACCUUGUUCUAUUACAACGUCAGCAACUGAAGGUAGUAGAACAUACUUCUCUUUCUUCAAAACCCCCAAAAAGGGAAUCAGCACCGGCCUUUUAACCUGUAAAACUCAGCAUUAAUCAAAUGGGCGACAAAAUUAUACAACAAUAUACGCACAACUUAGUCUAUGAUGAACAAAAUAUGUAGACAGUCCCCCUUCUUAUAAUCGAAUUGCACUUUUCACUCCGUUUAUCCUAUUGAAGAAUCUAACUUAGCAUCACCAAACAUGGUCCUUCACAUCAACCAAAUCGUCUUUGUCAUCUGCUUUUGACUAUUUAAAAAGUAAUGAUCAUAAAACUUGGUCACAAAAUAAUUUCUGAACUUGAAUUUUGGGAAAUUUCCCACAUACAUUGGGCUAGCUAAAUCAACUGAAGUAAAACAAAUUAAAUCGAGCAAGUAGCAUCAAACCCCCAAAACCGUAUAUUAAAAACAAUACACUAAAAUAAUAAAAUAUUUCGAAAAAAUUCAACAAGUUACUUUGUAAACAAUGGCAUUGGGAGUGAUGUAGAGUUUACGAAACCGGAUAUCUUUCCGCAAAAUGUAACGCCGGACCGGCAAAUAAAGCAACAUGAACAAACCGAUGCCCCAUGCCAGUAUCAAAAGCAACGAGUACAAAACCCAUUGAACCGUUUGGUAUUUCACGAAUUUCUCUUCGGCUUCCUUAAACGACGCUGUGUAGAGAACUGGUUCAUCUUCUUCUUCAUUAGGAUUGUCAGGCGGUUCAGAGCCACUGUUUGAACCGGCGCCUGGCAGCAAUAAGUCCCGUUCCAGGCGGUCUAUUUCCACCACCCCAUCUUUCGAUUCCAUCGAACAAUACGAGUAAAACGUGAAUUGGGAAUUUGGGAAGAUUAUUAUUGAAUGUUUUGUCACUAGUUUGUCGGAAAGGAUAAGAAAGGGUAAUUAGUUUGUUGGGUUUCUCGAUGGAAGGGGGCGCGUGGCGUUUAUCAGUUAUUUCAGAUCCAUACCGUUGAUUAUAUCUACCGUGCAAAUUGCAAUUAUAAUGAAGGGUGUGUUUACAUUUAUUUUUCAUGAAAAAUAUCAAAUUUUCACCCAAAUUUUUGUUUAGAGUGUUUGAUUGCUAUUUUUUUUAUGAAAAAUAUUUUUCAACUUCUGAAAAUAUGUCUAAUUUUCCUUGUUUUUAAGGAAAACAUUUUCCUCGGGUAGAAGUGAUUUUUAUUUUCCCUAAAAAAUGGAAAAUAUUUUUUUUUCUAGAAAGGGUUCUGCUCUUCAAUUAAAGUUUGAACUCUCUGCAAGAAUUUUCCCAUAAGUUCCAUAACAAGACAGAGAAGACACUCGAUAAAGGCGACUCAGUUCUUCUAACCUUUACUGAACUGCCAACCUCCUCUAGUUUUUGCAAGAUUGCCAGCUCGCCGGAAAUUGUUAAUGAAUCAGGCCUCGGAGGUUUUGAAGGGGACAUCUGAAAACAUAAAUAGAAACAAAGGAGAAAAGCAAAGGUUGGGGGAAGGGAGGCAGGAAGAGAGUCAAAAACAACAUCGAUGAAGGUUGAAAGCAUAAUACUUUAUAAUAUAAAAUGCCAGGAUUUCAAUACGAGUAAUCAUAGAGCAGACAAGGAAUGUUUCAUGUGAUAGGAGUAUUUUUAGAAUACCAAAGGAACUGGCGAAUGACUAAUCCUCGAAGUUGGAACAUCUUCAAUAGCAGAAACUUGUCUAGAUAAAACCUCCUCUCUCAUGCUAGAUAGGCGCGUAAGUACAGC
rnacentral:lncRNA from 1 species